AUUUUUAUUUCAGUUGUGAAAAAAAAGUUGAUAUGAGGAACAUACAAGGUAUGAGCAUGCUAUUAAGAAAAUUCAUGGAGUAUAUUCAUUUGAACAAUGCAUGUGCACUUUUGAUAAAGUUAUGCAGGAUAAAUCUAACGACGUAGUGACAAGAAUCCGAAAGGAAUUUGAAGAGGAAAUGUAAAAGUUCAAUUACUAUUCCUUACAAAUGGAAAUGGAGAUGUUUCAAGCCUGACUUCUCAUUUUAGAGGACUAUAAUAUAAAUGAACAACGAAAGUGCAACAUGGCAAAGGAGGAGAAAAAUAAAAUGAUGAUGGAUGUCACAUUGUCAGUUAUGAGAUUUGGUUUCCUGAAUAGCUAGAUUAAUUUAGGUUUUGUUAUUUGAUGUUAGAUUUUUUAAUAAUAUGUAGAUAGAUCAAUGUACGUUGAAAUAUUUAUUUUUAUAUUUUUAAUAAUGUAUUCUUUUUAUUUA